rnacentral:SRP_RNA from 1 species
GCCAGGUGUGGUGGUGCAUGCCUGUAAUCCCAGCUACUUGGGAGGCUGAGGCAGGAGAAUUGCUUGAACCCAGGAGGUGGAGGCUGCAGUGAGCUGAGAUCAUGCCACUUCACUCCAGCCUGGGUGACAAAGCAAGACUCUGUCUCAA